AUUGAACGCUGGCGGCAGGCUUAACACAUGCAAGUCGAGCGGGGGAAGGUAGCUUGCUACCGGACCUAGCGGCGGACGGGUGAGUAAUGCUUAGGAAUCUGCCUAUUAGUGGGGGACAACAUCUCGAAAGGGAUGCUAAUACCGCAUACGUCCUACGGGAGAAAGCAGGGGAUCUUCGGACCUUGCGCUAAUAGAUGAGCCUAAGUCGGAUUAGCUAGUUGGUGGGGUAAAGGCCUACCAAGGCGACGAUCUGUAGCGGGUCUGAGAGGAUGAGCCGCACCACUGGGGCUGAGACACGGCCCAGACUCCUACGGGAGGCAGCAGUGGGGAAUAUUGGACAAUGGGGGGAACCCUGAUCCAGCCAUGCCGCGUGUGUGAAGAAGGCCUUAUGGUUGUAAAGCACUUUAAGCGAGGAGGAGGCUACUCUAGUUAAUACCUAGGGAUAGUGGACGUUACUCGCAGAAUAAGCACCGGCUAACUCUGUGCCAGCCGCCGCCGUAA
rnacentral:rRNA from 1 species